rnacentral:ncRNA from 1 species
AAUAUCUGAAGUAGAGAAUGUGCUGCUACGCACCGUAAGGUCAAAAGAAAUGCAAGAUUGGCACACUUGCCUGAUAUU